AGAGUUUGAUCCUGGCUCAGAACGAACGCUGGCGGUAUGCUUAACACAUGCAAGUCGAACGCGAAAGUUUCUUUUGAAGCGAGUAGAGUGGCGCACGGGUGAGUAACACGUAGAUAACCUACCCUUCAGUUUGGAAUAACCUCCUGAAAAGAGGGCUAAUACCAGAUAAUACUUAAUGACGAGUGUUUUUUAAGUUGAAAGAUUUAUUGCUGAGGGAUGGGUCUGCGCACCAUUAGCUUGUUGGUGGGGUAAUGGCUCACCAAGGCGACGAUGGUUAGCGGGUCUGAGAGGAUGAUCCGCCACACUGGAACUGAGACACGGUCCAGACUCCUACGGGAGGCAGCUUGGGGAAUUUUGCGCAAUGGGCGUAAGCCUGACGCAGCAAUACCGCAUGAGUGAAGAAGGCCUUCGGGUCGUAAAGCUCUUUUUUUAGGGAAGAUAAUGACGGUACCUAAAGAAUAAGCGCCGGCUAACUCCGUGCCAGCAGCCGCGGUAAUACGGAGGGCGCGAGCGUUGUUCGGAUUUACUGGGCGUAAAGGGCACGUAGGCGGCAUAGCAAGCUAAGAGUGAAAUCCCGAGGCUUAACUUCGGAACUGUUCUUAGAACUGUUAAGCUAGAGAUAGUUAGAGGCGGGUGGAAUUCCUGGUGUAGGGGUGAAAUUCGUAGAUAUCAGGAGGAACACCGGAGGCGAAGGCGGCCCGCUGGGACUAUUCUGACGCUGAGGUGCGAAAGCGUGGGUAGCGAACGGGAUUAGAUACCCCGGUAGUCCACGCUGUAAACGAUGAAUACCGGCUGUUUGGAGAAUCGACUUUCCAAGUGGCGCAGCUAACGCGAUGAGUAUUCCGCCUGGGGAUUACGGUCGCAAGACUAAAACUCAAAGGAAUUGACGGGGGCCCGCACAAGCGGUGGAGCAUGUGGUUUAAUUCGACGCAGCGCGAAGAACCUUACCUGGGUUUGACAUCCCCUGCUCGUCACAGAGAUGUGAUUUUCUCUUAGGAGACAGGGUGACAGGUGCUGCAUGGCUGUCGUCAGCUCGUGUCGUGAGAUGUUGGGUUAAGUCCCGCAACGAGCGCAACCCUUGUCCUUAGUUGCCAGCGAUUUGGUCGGGAACUUUAAGGAGACUGCCGGUGUUAAGCCGGAGGAAGGUGAGGAUGACGUCAAGUCCUCAUGGCCCUUAUAUCCAGGGCUACACACGUGCUACAAUGGUGACUACAAAGAGCUGCGAAGCUGUGAGGUGGAGCUAAUCUCAAAAAAGUCAUCUCAGUUCGGAUUGCAGUCUGCAACUCGGCUGCAUGAAGUUGGAAUCGCUAGUAAUCGUAGAUCAGCGUGCUACGGUGAAUACGUUCCCGGGCCUUGUACACACCGCACGUCACACCAUGGGAGUUGAUAUUAGCAGAAUACAUUGAGCUAACUUUAGGGAGGCAGGUGUAGGAGCUAGUGUUGAUGACUGGGGUGAAGUCGUAACAAGGUA
rnacentral:rRNA from 1 species